UACGUAGGGGGCUAGCGUUGUCCGGAAUCAUUGGGCGUAAAGCGCGUGUAGGCGGUCCGGUAAGUCCGCUGUGAAAGUCGGGGGCUCAACCCUGGGAUGCCGGUGGAUACUGUCGGGCUCGAAUCCGGAAGAGGUGAGUGGAAUUCCUGGUGUAGCGGUGAAAUGCGCAGAUAUCAGGAGGAACACCAAUGGCGAAGGCAGCUCACUGGGACGGUAUUGACGCUGAGACGCGAAAGCGUGGGGAGCAAACAGG
rnacentral:rRNA from 1 species